GAACUUACCAGAAAUUAAGUGGGCUCAAUGGGCCCUAACGAUAAUUAUAAUGUUGAUGUGUAAUCAAUACUCAAGACUUUAACGCAAGCUUACAAAGUAUACAAAGGAAAUAAAAUCAUCCUCUUUAAUAACAUAAUAUAUCAUAAACCCUAAUAAUAAACAAACUUACAUACAAGCACAUACGUACAAAGCUUGCCCAUAAUCAAGCUUAAAUCAAAACCAAAAAAUACGAUAAACAAACCCAGCAAAACCAUCAUUACUCAAGCACUACAAGCCACACACUUAUCAUCAUCAUGAUGCUUUCAAAGAAUAGUGCUUUUUUUUUAAUGGGACUCUUUCUCUUUCUCCUUUUCUUCCUCUGUCUUUGGAUGGUACCCAGGAAGCUUUUCCUUGAUCUUCUCAAAGAUACCCUUCUUCUCCUUAGCCUCUGCUGAAGGAGAGGCUGCCUCUGUAUGAACAUGUUCAGCUGGGGGCGGAGGUGGAGGU
rnacentral:misc_RNA from 1 species